rnacentral:ncRNA from 1 species
GGGGAGUAUGGUCGCAAGGCUGAAACUUAAAGAAAUUGACGGAAGGGCACCACAAGAUAUUCAAACAAAUAGAAAAAGUAAAAUAAUUUACAAAGUUUGAUAUCUCCACAGUCUUCUAUAAGAUAACUGUCUUUUAUAUA